AUUGAACGCUGGCGGCAUGCAUUACACAUGCAAGUCGAACGGCAGCGGGGGAGAAGCUUGCUUUUCCUGCCGGCGAGUGGCGAACGGGUGAGUAAUACAUCGGAACGUGCCCUGUAGUGGGGGAUAACUAGUCGAAAGAUUAGCUAAUACCGCAUACGACCUGAGGGUGAAAGUGGGGGACCGCAAGGCCUCAUGCUAUAGGAGCGGCCGAUGUCUGAUUAGCUAGUUGGUGGGGUAAAGGCCUACCAAGGCGACGAUCAGUAGCUGAUCUGAGAGGACGAGCAGCCACACUGGGACUGAGACACGGCCAGACUCCUACGGGAGGCAGCAGUGGGGAAUUUUGGACAAUGGGCGAAAGCCUGAUCCAGCAAUGCCGCGUGUGUGAAGAAGGCCUUCGGGUUGUAAAGCACUUUUGUCCGGAAAGAAAUGGCUCUGGUUAAUACCUGGGGUCGAUGACGGUACCGGAAGAAUAAGGACCGGCUAACUACGUGCCAGCCGCCGCCGUAA
rnacentral:rRNA from 1 species